CCUACGGGUGGCAGCAGUGAGGAAUAUUGGGCAAUGGGCGAGAGCCUGAACCAGCGAAGUCGCGUGAGGGAGUACUGCCCUAGGGGUGGUAAACCUCUUUUGUCGGGGAGCAAAAGCCGGACGUGUACGGGUGUGAGAGUACCCGAAGAAGAAGCAGCGGCUAACGCCGUGCCAGCAGCCGCGGUAAUACGGAGGAUGCGAGCGUUAGCCGGAUUUAUUGGGUUUAAGGGGGGCGCGGGCGGAUUUUUAAGUCAGCGGUCAAGUCGUGGGGCUCAACCCCAUCCGGCCGUUGAAACUGGGGAUCUGGGGUGUGCGAGAGGUAUGCGGAAUGCGUGGUGUCGCGGUGAAAUGC
rnacentral:rRNA from 1 species